GUCUACAGUCAUACCUCCCAGAACUCGCCUGAUCUCGUCUGAUCUUGGAAGCUAAGCAGUGUCGGGCCUGGUUAGUACUUGGAUGGGAGACUGCCUCGGAAUAUUGGGUGCUGUAGGCU
rnacentral:rRNA from 1 species